rnacentral:rRNA from 1 species
UUCGUAGGCGGUGCGGCAAGUUGGGAGUGAAAUCUCUGGGCUUAACUCAGAGGCUGCUUUCAAAACUGCCGUGCUCGAGUGCGGGAGAGGCCAGUGGAAUUGCAGGUGUAGCGGUGAAAUGCGUAGAUAUCUGCAGGAACACCCGUGGCGAAGGCGGCUGGCUGGACCGCAACUGACGCUGAGGAACGAAAGCUAGGGGAGCAAACAGGAUUAGAUACCCUGGUAGUCCUAGCCCUAAACCAUCAGGACUUGGGGUGGCCCGCGUAGGCGGGUCGUCCCGUAGCUAACGCGUUAAGUCCUGCGCCUGGGGAGUACGGUCGCGAGACUGAA